rnacentral:snRNA from 1 species
GGAUGUCUGGGUGAUCCAGCUGUGACAUUGGUCAUGCUGUUAGUCACCAGGGUUGAUAUGACUGAUUUGGGUGGCUUGAUGGGUGUCCCCUUCCUCCCUCACGGCUCCAUGUGCUUCCAUCCUGAAUCUCCAUGGUUUGUGGAAGUGGACACCAUCCCAGAGAGGAGUGAACCAUUCUUUGAUCAGGGGUAUGUGAUAGCCACAUUACCUCAGCACUGGUUCUAAUCAUUUGCUUACAUUAAAAAAAUAGGAUUAAAUUCUGAAUUUGUUU